rnacentral:rRNA from 1 species
AUUGAACGCUGGCGGCAGGCCUAACACAUGCAAGUCGAGCGGAUGAAGGGAGCUUGCUCCUGGAUUCAGCGGCGGACGGGUGAGUAAUGCCUAGGAAUCUGCCUGGUAGUGGGGGAUGACGUCCGGAAACGAGCGCUAAUACCGCAUACGUCCUGAUGGAGAAAGUUGGGGAUCUUCGGACCUCACGCUCUCAGAUGAGCCUAGGCCGGAUUAGCUAGUUGGUGGGGUAAAGGCCUACCAAGCCGACGAUCCGUAACUGGUCUGAGAGGAUGAUCAGUCACACUGGAGCUGAGACACGGUCCAGACUCCUACGGGAGGCAGCAGUGGGGAAUAGUGGACAAUGGGCGAAAGCCUGAUCCAGCCAUGCCGCGUGUGUGAAGAAGGUCUUCGGAUUGUAAAGCACUUUAAGUUGGGAGGAAGGGCAGUAAGUUAAUACCUUGCUGUUUUGACGUUACCAACAGAAUAAGCACCGGCUAACUUCGUG